GGUUAGGUGGUGUGGUGGUAACACCCUUGCUAUAUAUGCAGAAGCCCUGGGUCCAAUUCCCAGUCUGGCCA